UACAGAGGUCUCAAGCGGUUGUUCGGAUUCAUUGGGCGUAAAGGGCGCGUAGGCGGCGGGGUAAGUCGGGUGUGAAAUCUCAGAGCUCAACUCUGAAACUGCACUCGAUACUGCUCUGCUUGAGGACUGGAGAGGAGACUGGAAUUCACGGUGUAGCAGUGAAAUGCGUAGAUAUCGUGAGGAAGACCAGUGGCGAAGGCGGGUCUCUGGACAGUUCCUGACGCUGAGGCGCGAAGGCCAGGGGAGCAAACGGG
rnacentral:rRNA from 1 species